rnacentral:rRNA from 1 species
GUGGCGACCGGCGCACGGGUGAGUAACGCGUAUGCAACCUAUCUAUCAGAGGGGAAUAACCCGGCGAAAGUCGGACUAAUACCGCAUAAAACAGGGACACCGCAUGGUGAUAUUUGUUAAAGAAAUUCGCUGAUAGAUGGGCAUGCGUUCCAUUAGGUAGUUGGUGAGGUAACGGCUCACCAAGCCGACGAUGGAUAGGGGAACUGAGAGGUUGGUCCCCCACACUGGUACUGAGACACGGACCAGACUCCUACGGGAGGCAGCAGUGAGGAAUAUUGGUCAAUGGGCGAGAGCCUGAACCAGCCAAGUCGCGUGAAGGAAGAAGGAUCUAUGGUUCGUAAACUUCUUUUGCAGGGGAAUAAAGUGCGGGACGUGUCCUGUUUUGUAUGUACCCUGAGAAUAAGGAUCGGCUAACUCCGUGCCAGCAGCCGCGGUAAUACGGAGGAUCCGAGCGUUAUCCGGAUUUAUUGGGUUUAAAGGGUGCGUAGGUGGUUUUAUAAGUCAGCGGUGAAAGUUUGCAGCUUAACUGUAAAAAUGCCGUUGAAACUGUAAGACUUGAGUGUAAAUGAGGUAGGCGGAAUGCGUGGUGUAGCGGUGAAAUGCAUAGAUAUCACGAAGAACUCCGAUUG